GUGAAAUUGCACAGUGUCAGGAAUGAUUUGCCAAUGUCUUCAGUAGGAUUCAACAGAGUUGGAUUGCUGAGAAUAAAAUUACGGAUUUCUCCAUAAUGGACACACGCACUUUUUGUUUGUGCUGUUUCCUUUAGAAUGGACGAUGAGUCAAAAUUGUUCGUUUAUGCUUCUUCACAGAAGGAUCUUCUGUGUCGUAGGAGGUGGCCUGCAGCAAUCUGGACAUUCAGUGGUCCUCCUGUGAUUAAUAGGUGAACGGAUGAGCUAUUCUGAUAAGAACUGGGGAACUUUUGCCAUUCAAAAGCAAAUAGAAGAACUGGGAGAUUCC
rnacentral:lncRNA from 1 species